UGGGGUAUAUUGGACAAUGGGCGAAAGCCUGAUCCAGCCAUGCCGCGUGUGUGAAGAAGGUCUUCGGAUUGUAAAGCACUUUAAGUUGGGAGGAAGGGCAUUAAGCGAAUACCUUGCUGUUUUGACGUUACCGACAGAAUAAGCACCGGCUAACUCUGUGCCAGCAGCCGCGGUAAUACAGAGGGUGCAAGCGUUAAUCGGAAUUACUGGGCGUAAAGCGCGCGUAGGUGGUUCGUUAAGUUGAAUGUGAAAGCCCCAGGCUCAACCUGGGAACUGCAUCCAAAACUGGCGAGCUAGAGUAGGGCAGAGGGUGGUGGAAUUUCCUGAGUAGCGGUGAAAUGCGUAGAUAUAGGAAGGAACACCAGUGGCGAAGGCGACCACCUGGGCUCAUACUGACACUGAGGUGCGAAAGCGUGGGGAGCAAACAGG
rnacentral:rRNA from 1 species